rnacentral:rRNA from 1 species
UAGGGAAUCUUCGGCAAUGGGGGCAACCCUGACCGAGCAACGCCGCGUGAGUGAAGAAGGUUUUCGGAUCGUAAAGCUCUGUUGUAAGAGAAGAACGUGUGUGAGAGUGGAAAGUUCACACAGUGACGGUAACUUACCAGAAAGGGACGGCUAACUACGUGCCAGCAGCCGCGGUAAUACGUAGGUCCCGAGCGUUGUCCGGAUUUAUUGGGCGUAAAGCGAGCGCAGGCGGUUUAAUAAGUCUGAAGUUAAAGGCAGUGGCUUAACCAUUGUUCGCUUUGGAAACUGUUAAACUUGAGUGCAGAAGGGGAGAGUGGAAUUCCAUGUGUAGCGGUGAAAUGCGUAGAUAUAUGGAGGAGCACCGGUGGCGAAAGCGGCUCUCUGGUCUGUAACUGACGCUGAGGCUCGAAAGCGUGGGGAGCAAACAGG